rnacentral:rRNA from 1 species
AACGAACGCUGGCGGCAGGCCUAACACAUGCAAGUCGAGCGCGCCUUCGGGUGAGCGGCGGACGGGUGAGUAACACGUGGGAAUAUGCCUUUCGGUGCGGAAUAGUCUUGGGAAACUGAGGGUAAUACCGCAUACGCCCCUUGGGGGAAAGAUUUAUCGCCGAAAGAUUAGCCCGCGUUGGAUUAGGUAGUUGGUGGGGUAAUGGCCUACCAAGCCGACGAUCCAUAGCUGGUUUGAGAGGAUGAUCAGCCACACUGGGACUGAGACACGGCCCAGACUCCUACGGGAGGCAGCAGUGGGGAAUCUUAGACAAUGGGGGCAACCCUGAUCUAGCCAUGCCGCGUGAGUGAUGAAGGCCUUAGGGUUGUAAAGCUCUUUCAGCUGGGAAGAUAAUGACGUACCAGCAGAGAGC